CUUCACUUGGUAUUUUUUCUUUUUCUCUCUCUCUCUCUCUCUCUGUGGCGAUAUCAGUUCCUUGGUCCAGUGAUUUCUUCAGAUCAUGUUUGGUUCCUUUUUUGGCGUUAUUAUCUAUGGUUUGGCCUAUGUUUGUGGCCGGUGAUCUAGUGGUUUUUGGUCUACUUUUGCUACCAGUAUUUUGUGUUUUUCUGACAGUGUUUUUGGCCUCUUAUGUUGGGUUUUAAAUUGUAAAACAUAUACUACUCUUGCGUCCAAGUUAGGCGUCGGUCAGGAGAUGUUUUUGUAAGGUCUUUGUUAAACCGAUGAUCUGUAGAUAGUUUUCCUUGAGAUCUGAAUCUUAUAAUCAAACAUUUGCUCUCUCUUAGAUGGUUCUUGCAUAGUGACGGACUCGAUUUUUACCUCUGAACCCCCAGAUUAGGCUUGGCCAAACUGGGUGAACAAUUUAUUGUGUUCUUUAUUUUCUGCAUCAAUUUCUUUAUUGUUGUUGUUCGAUUUUUGGUGAUUACAAUCACACAUUGGGAUAAAAAUCC
rnacentral:lncRNA from 1 species